rnacentral:rRNA from 1 species
AAUGAACGCUGGCGGCGCGCCUAAUACAUGCAAGUCGAGCGAGAAGACGUAGCAAUACGUUUGUAAAGCGGCGAACGGGUGAGGAAUACAUGGGUAACCUACCCUCGAGUGGGGAAUAACUAGCCGAAAGGUUAGCUAAUACCGCGUACGCUCCUUGGACUUCGGUUCAGGGAGGAAAGCGAUACCGUGGGUAUCGCGCUCUUGGUUGGGCUCAUGUCCUAUCAGCUUGUGUGAGGAACGGCUCACCAAGGCUUCGACGGGUAGCUGGUCUGAGAGGACGAUCAGCCACACU